rnacentral:rRNA from 1 species
UAUGUCCUACGGGGGGCAGCAGUGAGGAAUAUUGGUCAAUGGGAGAGAUCCUGAACCAGCCAAGCCGCGUGAGGGAAGACGGCCCUAUGGGUUGUAAACCUCUUUUGUCGGAGAACAAAACCCGGGACGAGUCCCGGACUGCGUGUAUCCGAAGAAAAAGCAUCGGCUAACUCCGUGCCAGCAGCCGCGGUAAUACGGAGGAUGCGAGCGUUAUCCGGAUUCAUUGGGUUUAAAGGGUGCGCAGGCGGAAGAUCAAGUCAGCGGUAAAAUUGAGAGGCUCAACCUCUUUGAGCCGUUGAAACUGG